rnacentral:lncRNA from 1 species
AUCGCUCCUCAUAUAUUUAUAAAAAUGUUAAAGAAAGAUAACGAGUUGGGUUAAAAUUCAGAUGGAAAAUAAAGACCACAAGUCAAUCUAGCCAAGUAUUUUCAAAUUUGAACAAACGAAAACAACGAUAAAAUCUAGAAACAUUGUAAAUUGAAACAUGAAUAAGGUUGUGUAAUGAUACACUUUAUGCUUCUCACAGCAAUACCCUAGUGACAAAAACGUUUGAAUUGUUAAGAAAAACAAUAAAGAAGUCAAAAGGCAUGAAUGACUCCUUUCAGAUAAGUCAUAUCUUACAAACAAUUUUACACGGAAAAGAUCAAUUACAAUUAGAUAAAAGUCUCAAAAUCAUGAUUAUUACCACAAAAAAUCAGUAACACAUAUAUUGUAAACCUUUGAGGCAUUAUGUCAAACAGUUGGUUGGCAUCACCAACCACAUGAUUCUGUACAUACCCAACACAGUUUCUUUGGGGCAUUAUAUCAAACAAUUGCAAAGCAUCAUCAUCCACUUAUACAUUUAUACUAAAAUUUUCAUAAAUUACGACUAAAAUCUUAAUUAACUUCAAAUAACAAAAACAGUGGCAGAAAAACAACAGCCCAAAAUGUAAUUGCAAAAUGUGCUUAACAAUAAAUGUGUCAGCCAAUGAAUGAACAAAUAAAAUGCAGAAAAACAUAUGCUUGAAAUUUGUUUUCGAGCUUCACCUUAUUUGCCCAGAAGCUUAAAA